rnacentral:lncRNA from 1 species
AUGUACUGUGGUGUUUGGGGUUAGGUACUGUGGUGUUGGGGUUAGGUAGUACUGUGGUGUUGGGGUUAGGUACUGUGGUGUUGGAGUUAGGUACUGUGGUGUUGGGGUUAGGUACUGUACUGUGGUGUUGGGGUUAGGUACUGUGGUGUUUGGGGUUAGGUACUGUGGUGUUGGGGUUAGGUACUGUGGUGUUGGGGUUAGGUACUGUGGUGUUGGAGUUAGGUUCUGUGGUGUUGGGGUUAGGUACUGUACUGUGGUGUUGGGGUUAGGUACUGUACUGUGGUGUUGGAGUUAGGUACUGUACUGUGGUGUUGGGGUUAGGUACUGUGGUGUUUGGGGUUAGGUACUGUGGUGUUGGGGUUAGGUACUGUGGUGUUGGGGUUAGGUACUGUGGUGUUGGGUUAGGUACUGUGGUGUUGGGGUUAGGUACUGUACUGUUGUGUUGGGGUUAGGUACUGUGGUGUUGGGGUUAGGUACUGUACUGUGGUGUUGGGGUUAGGUACUGUGGUGUUGGGGUUAGGUACUGUGGUG